CCUACGGGUGGCUGCAGUGAGGAAUAUUGGUCAAUGGACGAAAGGCUGAACCAGCCAAGUCGCGUGAAGGAUGACUGCCCUAUGGUUUGUAAACUUCUUUUAUAUGGGAAUAAAAUGUUCCACGUGUGGGAUUUUGUAUGUACCAUAUGAAUAAGUAUCGGCUAACUCCGUGCCAGCAGCCGCGGUAAUACGGAGGAUCCGAGCGUUGUCCGGAUUUAUUGGGUUUAAAGGGAGCGUAGGUGGUUUGUUAAGUCAGUUGUGAAAGUUUGCGGCUCAACCGUAAAAUUGAAGUUGAAACUGGAAGGCUUGAGUAAAGUAGAGGUGGGCGGAAUUCGUGGUGUAGCGGUGAAAUGCUUAGAUAUCACGAAGAACUCCGAUUGCGAAGGCAGCUCACUGGACUGCAACUGACACUGAGGCUCGAAAGUGUGGGUAUCAAACAGGAUUAGAUACCCCAGGAGUC
rnacentral:rRNA from 1 species